AGAUCUUUCUCUUUGACACUUUGCAAUAAAAAAGGGCAGUGAGAUUGAAUAGGUGUUUUGUGGAUUAACUCUUCAUUGAUUAUAUACAACAAAAAAUAGUUAUGGCGACUUUCAGAAACAAUCACAUGAAGACUAAAGCAUCUGUCAGAAAAUCAUUAAUUCAUCUAUGUAAGUUGCUCAAAUUUUUCCAAAAUUGAUACCUGAGAGCCCCUCCA
rnacentral:lncRNA from 10 species